rnacentral:lncRNA from 1 species
CUGGUACGUAGAGCUGCUGUGUCUCUUGGGAGCCAAAGCCGCCCAGGGAAUCUGUGCUGGACCCAAGCCUCCUUUAGCCCAAAGCUCCAGAGCUCCAAUAGGGCAGAGUUCCUGGGACCCUGAAAGGAGAGGGGGAAACUCUCAUGGCUCCCGACGAAAGUUGGAGAUCCCAUGCUCCUCUCCUGCCAGAAAGUCACUGAAUCAGAUAAAUGUGGGUAUGUGGUUUUUGCCUUUUC